ensembl:snRNA U6 U6 spliceosomal RNA
GUGCUCACUUCAGUGGCACAUAUAUUAAAAUUGGAACAAUAUAGAGAAGAUUAGAGUGGCCCCCGCGCAAAAAUGACACACAAAUUCAUGGAGUGUUCCAUAUUUUU